GGGCUCGUAGUUCAGUGGUAGAACGCUCGCUUUGCAAGCGAGAGGUCGCGGGUUCAACUCCCGUCGAGUCCA
rnacentral:tRNA from 1 species